CAAUAGCGUAUAUUAAAGUUGUUGCAGUUAAAAAGCUCGUAGUUGGAUUUCUGGGAGAGUGGCGAUGUCCGCUUAACGUGUGUGCAGCGACGCUCUUCCAUCCUUCUGUUAGCGUCUCUCGGCAUUCAUUUGUCGGUGGCGGGCUCAGAUAUCUUACCUUGAGAAAAUUAGAGUGUUUCAGGCAGGCUAGGCCGGAAUACAUUAGCAUGGAAUAAUGGAAUAGGACUACGGUCUCUUUGUUGGUUUGAGGGACUGCAGUAAUGAUUAAUAGGGAUAGUUGGGGGCAUUAGUAUUUAAUUGUCAGAGGUGGAAUUCUCAGAUUUGUUAAAGACUAACUUAUGCGAAAGCAUUUGCCAAGGAUGUUUNCAUUAA
rnacentral:rRNA from 1 species